UUGUGAAGAUUUCUCACAUGAUUAGGAAAUAAAAUCCCAUGAGAAUUUUUUUUUUCAUGUCUUGCAGAAAUUUUCCCUUUUCUUGCUUAUUUUCCUCUUGCACUUUGGGAUGAAUAGUAUAUACUAUUAUACCCUCGGGUUAAUUGCCUUUAUUGUCUUCUUUUCUUGGGUUUCUUUAAUGGGUUCAAGCUCAUAUUUUUCAUUGAUCCACACUUGGAUAAAAAAGUUGAAUAGCUUGUUGUAUCUUUU
rnacentral:lncRNA from 1 species